ACUCCUACGGGAGGCAGCAGUGGGGAAUUUUGCGCAAUGGGCGAAAGCCUGACGCAGCAACGCCGCGUGAGUGAUGAAGGCUUUCGGGUCGUAAAGCUCUGUCGAGGGGAAAGAAGUGUAUUGUGGCUAAUAUCCACGAUACUUGACGGUACCCCUAAAGGAAGCACCGGCUAACUCCGUGCCAGCAGCCGCGGUAAUACGGGGGGUGCAAGCGUUGUUCGGAAUUAUUGGGCGUAAAGCGCGUGUAGGCGGUCUGAUUAGUCUGAUGUGAAAGCCCUGGGCUCAACCCAGGAAGUGCAUUGGAUACUGUCAGACUUGAAUACGGGAGAGGGUAGUGGAAUUCCUAGUGUAGGAGUGAAAUCCGUAGAUAUUAGGAGGAACACCGGUGGCGAAGGCGGCUACCUGGACCGAUAUUGACGCUGAGACGCGAAAGCGUGGGUAGCAAACAGGAUUAGAUACCCUGGUAGUCCACGCCGUAAACGAUGAGUACUAKGUGUUGCGGGUAUUGACCCCUGCAGUGCCGCAKCUAACGCAUUAAGUACUCCGCCUGGGAAGUACGGUCGCAAGACUAAAACUCAAAUGAAUUGACGG
rnacentral:rRNA from 1 species